UUAAGCGACUAAGCGUACACGGUGGAUGCCCUGGCAGUCAGAGGCGAUGAAGGACGUGCUAAUCUGCGAUAAGCGUCGGUAAGGUGAUAUGAACCGUUAUAACCGGCGAUUUCCGAAUGGGGAAACCCAGUGUGUUUCGACACACUAUCAUUAACUGAAUCCAUAGGUUAAUGAGGCGAACCGGGGGAACUGAAACAUCUAAGUACCCCGAGGAAAAGAAAUCAACCGAGAUUCCCCCAGUAGCGGCGAGCGAACGGGGAGCAGCCCAGAGCCUGAAUCAGUGUGUGUGUUAGUGGAAGCGUCUGGAAAGGCGCGCGAUACAGGGUGACAGCCCCGUACACAAAAAUGCACAUGCUGUGAGCUCGAUGAGUAGGGCGGGACACGUGGUAUCCUGUCUGAAUAUGGGGGGACCAUCCUCCAAGGCUAAAUACUCCUGACUGACCGAUAGUGAACCAGUACCGUGAGGGAAAGGCGAAAAGAACCCCGGCGAGGGGAGUGAAAAAGAACCUGAAACCGUGUACGUACAAGCAGUGGGAGCACGCUUAGGCGUGUGACUGCGUACCUUUUGUAUAAUGGGUCAGCGACUUAUAUUCUGUAGCAAGGUUAACCGAAUAGGGGAGCCGAAGGGAAACCGAGUCUUAACUGGGCGUUAAGUUGCAGGGUAUAGACCCGAAACCCGGUGAUCUAGCCAUGGGCAGGUUGAAGGUUGGGUAACACUAACUGGAGGACCGAACCGACUAAUGUUGAAAAAUUAGCGGAUGACUUGUGGCUGGGGGUGAAAGGCCAAUCAAACCGGGAGAUAGCUGGUUCUCCCCGAAAGCUAUUUAGGUAGCGCCUCGUGAAUUCAUCUCCGGGGGUAGAGCACUGUUUCGGCAAGGGGGUCAUCCCGACUUACCAACCCGAUGCAAACUGCGAAUACCGGAGAAUGUUAUCACGGGAGACACACGGCGGGUGCUAACGUCCGUCGUGAAGAGGGAAACAACCCAGACCGCCAGCUAAGGUCCCAAAGUCAUGGUUAAGUGGGAAACGAUGUGGGAAGGCCCAGACAGCCAGGAUGUUGGCUUAGAAGCAGCCAUCAUUUAAAGAAAGCGUAAUAGCUCACUGGUCGAGUCGGCCUGCGCGGAAGAUGUAACGGGGCUAAACCAUGCACCGAAGCUGCGGCAGCGACACUAUGUGUUGUUGGGUAGGGGAGCGUUCUGUAAGCCUGUGAAGGUGUGCUGUGAGGCAUGCUGGAGGUAUCAGAAGUGCGAAUGCUGACAUAAGUAACGAUAAAGCGGGUGAAAAGCCCGCUCGCCGGAAGACCAAGGGUUCCUGUCCAACGUUAAUCGGGGCAGGGUGAGUCGACCCCUAAGGCGAGGCCGAAAGGCGUAGUCGAUGGGAAACAGGUUAAUAUUCCUGUACUUGGUGUUACUGCGAAGGGGGGACGGAGAAGGCUAUGUUGGCCGGGCGACGGUUGUCCCGGUUUAAGCGUGUAGGCUGGUUUUCCAGGCAAAUCCGGAAAAUCAAGGCUGAGGCGUGAUGACGAGGCACUACGGUGCUGAAGCAACAAAUGCCCUGCUUCCAGGAAAAGCCUCUAAGCAUCAGGUAACAUCAAAUCGUACCCCAAACCGACACAGGUGGUCAGGUAGAGAAUACCAAGGCGCUUGAGAGAACUCGGGUGAAGGAACUAGGCAAAAUGGUGCCGUAACUUCGGGAGAAGGCACGCUGAUAUGUAGGUGAAGUCCCUUGCGGAUGGAGCUGAAAUCAGUCGAAGAUACCAGCUGGCUGCAACUGUUUAUUAAAAACACAGCACUGUGCAAACACGAAAGUGGACGUAUACGGUGUGACGCCUGCCCGGUGCCGGAAGGUUAAUUGAUGGGGUCAGCGCAAGCGAAGCUCUUGAUCGAAGCCCCGGUAAACGGCGGCCGUAACUAUAACGGUCCUAAGGUAGCGAAAUUCCUUGUCGGGUAAGUUCCGACCUGCACGAAUGGCGUAAUGAUGGCCAGGCUGUCUCCACCCGAGACUCAGUGAAAUUGAACUCGCUGUGAAGAUGCAGUGUACCCGCGGCAAGACGGAAAGACCCCGUGAACCUUUACUAUAGCUUGACACUGAACAUUGAGCCUUGAUGUGUAGGAUAGGUGGGAGGCUUUGAAGUGUGGACGCCAGUCUGCAUGGAGCCGACCUUGAAAUACCACCCUUUAAUGUUUGAUGUUCUAACGUGGACCCGUGAUCCGGGUUGCGGACAGUGUCUGGUGGGUAGUUUGACUGGGGCGGUCUCCUCCUAAAGAGUAACGGAGGAGCACGAAGGUUGGCUAAUCCUGGUCGGACAUCAGGAGGUUAGUGCAAUGGCAUAAGCCAGCUUGACUGCGAGCGUGACGGCGCGAGCAGGUGCGAAAGCAGGUCAUAGUGAUCCGGUGGUUCUGAAUGGAAGGGCCAUCGCUCAACGGAUAAAAGGUACUCCGGGGAUAACAGGCUGAUACCGCCCAAGAGUUCAUAUCGACGGCGGUGUUUGGCACCUCGAUGUCGGCUCAUCACAUCCUGGGGCUGAAGUAGGUCCCAAGGGUAUGGCUGUUCGCCAUUUAAAGUGGUACGCGAGCUGGGUUUAGAACGUCGUGAGACAGUUCGGUCCCUAUCUGCCGUGGGCGCUGGAGAACUGAGGGGGGCUGCUCCUAGUACGAGAGGACCGGAGUGGACGCAUCACUGGUGUUCGGGUUGUCAUGCCAAUGGCACUGCCCGGUAGCUAAAUGCGGAAGAGAUAAGUGCUGAAAGCAUCUAAGCACGAAACUUGCCCCGAGAUGAGUUCUCCCUGACUCCUUGAGAGUCCUGAAGGAACGUUGAAGACGACGACGUUGAUAGGCCGGGUGUGUAAGCGCAGCGAUGCGUUGAGCUAACCGGUACUAAUGAACCGUGAGGCUUAACCUU
rnacentral:rRNA from 1 species